GUAACGCUGGCGGUAUGCCAACACAUCCCAAGUCGAACGAAAGUUUAUACUUUAGUUGGCGGAUGGGUGAGUAAUACGUGAGAAUCACUUUAGGAAGGGAAUAACAAUUGGAAACGAUUGCUAAUGCCCUAUAUGCUUAGCAGUGAAACAGAUUUAUCUGCCUGAAGAUGAGCUCGCGCCUGAUUAGCUAGUUGGUAGAGUAAAAGCCUACCAAGGCAACGAUCAGUAGCUGGUUUGAGAGGACGAUCAGCCACACUGGGACUGAGACACGGCCCAGACUUCUACGGAAGGCAGCAGUGGGGAAUUUUCCGCAAUGAGCGAAAGCCUGACGGAGCAAUACCGCGUGAGGGAAGAAUGCCUGUGGGUUGUAAACCUCUUUACUAGGGAAGAACAAUAUGACGGUACCUAAAGAAUAAGCAUCGGCUAACUCCGUGCCAGCAGCCGCGGGUAAUACGGGGCGAUGCAAAGGCGUUAUCCGGAAUUACUGGGCCGUAAAAGCCGUCUUGCAGGUUG
rnacentral:rRNA from 1 species